rnacentral:rRNA from 1 species
AUAUCAAUAAGCGGAGGAAAAGAAACCAACAGGGAUUGCCCUAGUAACGGCGAGUGAAGCGGCAACAGCUCAAAUUUGAAAUCUGGCCCUCGGGUCCGAGUUGUAAUUUGUAGAGGAUGCUUUUGGUGCAGUGCCUUCCGAGUUCCUUGGAACAGGACGCCUUAGAGGGUGAGAGCCCCGUACGGUUGGACACUAAGCCUCUGUAAAGCUCCUUCGACGAGUCGAGUAGUUUGGGAAUGCUGCUCUAAAUGGGAGGUAAAUUUCUUCUAAAGCUAAAUACCGGCCAGAGACCGAUAGCGCACAAGUAGAGUGAUCGAAAGAUGAAAAGUACUUUGAAAAGAGGGUUAAAUAGCACGUGAAAUUGUUGAAAGGGAAGCGUUUAUGACCAGACCUUUGUCUAGCGGAUCAUCCGGUGUUCUUCACCGGUGCACUUCGCUAGGCUCAGGCCAGCAUCGGUUUCUGCAGCGGGAUAAAGACCGUGGGAACGUAGCUCUCUCCGGGGAGUGUUAUAGCCCUAGGUGUAAUACCGUUGCGGGGACCGAGGUUCGCGCUUCUGCAAGGAUGCUGGCGUAAUGGUCAUCAACGA